rnacentral:rRNA from 1 species
UGGCGGCAGGCUUAACACAUGCAAGUCGAGCGUUAGCAGAUCUAGCUUGCUAGAUGCUGACGAGCGGCGGACGGGUGAGUAACGCGUAGGAACCUGCCCAGUAGUGGGGGAUAGCCCGGGGGAAACUCGGGUUAAUACCGCAUACGCUCUACGGAGGAAAGAGGGGGCUUCGGGCUCUCGCUAUUGGAUGGGCCUGCGUGAGAUUAGCUAGUUGGUGAGGUAAUGGCUCACCAAGGCGACGAUCUCUAGCUGGUCUGAGAGGAUGAUCAGCCACACUGGGACUGAGACACGGCCCAGACUCCUACGGGAGGCAGCAGUGGGGAAUAUUGCACAAUGGGCGCAAGCCUGAUGCAGCCAUGCCGCGUGUGUGAAGAAGGCUUUCGGGUUGUAAAGCACUUUCAGUGGGGAGGAAGGCCUCGUAGUUAAUAGCUGCGAGGAUUGACGUUACCCACAGAAGAAGCACCGGCUAACUCCGUG